rnacentral:rRNA from 1 species
UUGUCCGUGCCGCAGCUUACGCAUUAAGUGCCCCGCUUGGGGAGUACGCCCGCAAGGCUAAAACUCAAAGGAUUUGACGGGGGCCCGCACAAGCGGCGGAGCAUGUGGCUUAAUUAGACGCAACGCGAAGAACCUUACCAAGGCUUGACAUACACCGGAAAGCAUCAGAGAUGGUGCCCCCCUUGUGGUCGGUGUACAGGUGGUGCAUGGCUGUCGUCAGCUCGUGUCGUGAGAUGUUGGGUUAAGUCCCGCAACGAGCGCAACCCUUGUCCCGUGUUGCCAGCAGGCCCUUGUGGUGCUGGGGACUCACGGGAGACCGCCGGGGUCAACUCGGAGGAAGGUGGGGACGACGUCAAGUCAUCAUGCCCCUUAUGUCUUGGGCUGCACACGUGCUACAAUGGCCGGUACAAUGAGCUGCGAUACCGUGAGGUGGAGCGAAUCUCAAAAAGCCGGUCUCAGUUCGGAUUGGGGUCUGCAACUCGACCCCAUGAAGUCGGAGUCGCUAGUAAUCGCAGAUCAGCAUUGCUGCGGUGAAUACGUUCCCGGGCCUUGUACACACCGCCCGUC